AGUGCUCCUCUGGCUGGUGUUCCCAGGGGCCUUGGCCCGGGGAGGAUGGUGCACACAUGGGUGGCUGCUUCUGCAUCCCUUGGGAGCCGAGUCUGUCCUGGGGGCCAGGUAAAGAAACUUCUUCCAAGGAUCCAACCAUAUCCACUGAGAUUAUAUCCUCAUCUGAAAACAAGGAAAAAUGUUUCCUGCCACAGAAUAUGACUCCAGAUCUGACGCUCUCCUUCAGUGUGAAGAGCCGCUCCAGGAGGUGUGUAAAUGGCCCCUUGCAAGAAGCAGCUCGGAGGCGGCUCUGGGCGCUGGAGAAUGAGGACCAGGAGGUUCGUGCAUUGUUUAAGGACCUCUCAGCUAGGUUGGUGUGUAUACAGUCCCAGAAGGCCCAGUUCCUCAUUACCUUCAAGACCAUGGAGGAAAUCUGGAAGUUCUCCACCUACCUGAACUUAGGCUACGUAUCCAUGUGUCUGGAGCAUCUCCUCUUUGAUCACAAGUACUGGCUUAACUGCCGACUGGUGGAGGAUACAGAGAUCCACGUGUCAGUAGAUGAUAAACACCUGGAAACAAUAUACCUGGGACUUCUGAUCCAGGAAGGUCACUUCUUCUGCAGAGCCACGUGCUCCAUGGCUCAGCCAGCUGAGAAGGAAGGGGAGUAUUUGACACUUUGCAAGAAUGAGUUAAUCUCGGUGAAGACAGCUGAAGGCGAGUUCGAGUGGGAAGGCGUGUCCUUGGUGACGGGUCAGCGGGGCUUGGUGCCAGUGUCAGCCUUGGAACCCCUGCCUCUCCCUUUCCACCAAUGGUUCCUAAAGAAUUAUCCAGGAAGCUGUGGCCUUUCCAGGAAGAGGGAUUGGACAGGCUCCUAUCAGAUCGGUAGAGGAAAAUGUAAGGCCUGGAAAGAAUAUGAGAGGGAAGAAAAGGAUGAACUGAAUUUCCACCAGGGAGAAAGCAUUGAGAUCAUCGGCUUUGUCAUUCCUGGGCUUCAGUGGUUCAUUGGGAAGUCAGCGCUCUCAGGAGAAGUGGGCUUUGUCCCCACCAGGAACAUAGAUCCUGAUUCUUAUUCCCCAAUGAGCAAGAACUCCACCUUUUUCAGUGAUGAGGAAAGAUGCUCUCUGGGGGUCCCGGGAAGUGACAGGAAAGCUGAGUGUGCCAGCUUCCUCCACACGCUUGCUCAGACUGACAUAACAUCUGUCUACCGGCUUAGUGGGUUUGAAUCCAUCCAGAGUCUUCCAAACGAUCUGAGCGCGUCCCAGCCCGAAGGCUUCAAGGAGACCCGGCCUGGUGGAGCCUCGGAGGAGCAUCAGGCCGUGGGCUCCAGACAGUCCAGCAGCUCCGAGGACUCCAGCCUGGAGGAGGAGCUCCUUUCAGCCUCCUCAGACACCUAUCACCUGCCAGAGCCUGAUGACCUCGAUGACCCGGAGCUGCUCAUGGACCUGAACACCGGUCAGGAGGAGGAGGAGGCUGAGAACUUCACCCCCAUAUUGGCUUUUCUGGAUCACGAGGGUUAUGCUGACCACUUUAAGAGCCUCUAUGAUUUUUCCUUCUCUUUCCUCACGACUUCCUUCUACAGCUACUCUGAGGAGGAUGAGCUCGUGGCCUACCUGGAGGCCUCGAGGAAGUGGGCCAAGCGCAGCCACAUGACCUGGGCCCAUGCCCGGCUCUGCUUCCUCCUGGGCCGGCUAAGCGUUAGGAAGGUCAAACUCUCUCAGGCCAGGGUGUACUUUGAGGAGGCCAUCCACAUUCUCAACGGGGCAUUUAAGGACUUGUCCUUGGCGGCUGCCCUGUACAUCAAUUUGGCGGCCAUCUACCUGAGGCAGAGGCUGAGGCAUAAAGGCUCAGGCCUGUUGGAAAAGGCAGGUGCCAUGUUGGUCUGCCUGCCUGACCGGGAGUAUAGUGCCAAGAGUGAGCUGGAUGUGGUGGCCUAUGUGCUGAGACAGGGCAUCGUGUCGGGCAGCUGCCCCCUGGAGGCCAGAGCCUGCUUCCUGGCCGUCCGAUUGCUCCUAAUCCUCGGCCGGCACGAUGAGGUCCUGCCCUUCGCUGAGCGCCUGCAGCUCCUCUCUGGACACCCUCCCACCUUGGAUGCUGCAGCCACUAUCUUGAGUUUUCUCUAUGACAAGAAAUACCUGCCACACCUUGCGGUGGCUUCUGUCCGGCAACGUGGUACUCAGAGCACCCAAGGGAUGGCCCUUCCAAUUUGGCAGGUCCACCUGGUCCUCCAGAACACCACCAAGCUCCUUGGCAUCCCCUCCCCAAGCUGGGGUGAAGUUUCUGCCCUGGCGUGCCCAGCACUCAGGCAGGCACUGGCUGCCUGUGAGGAGCAGGUGGAUCAGAGCACCCAGAGGACCCUGUGUCUCAUCCUGUCCAAAGUGUACCUCCAGCAUAGGUCUCCUGAUGGUGCCAUCCACUACCUGAGCCAAGCCUUGAUGCUAGGCCAGCUGCUGAGUGAGCGGGAAGCUUUUGAGUCUUCCCUCUGCUUGGCGUGGGCCUAUCUCUUAGCCAGCCAGGCAAAGAAGGCUUUGGACAUCCUUGAGCCACUCUUACACUCCCUGAAGGAGACAGAGAGUGUUACCCAAAAGGGAGUGGUCCAGAACCUCCUGGGACUCGCACUUCAAGGUGAAGGCCGGGUGAACAGGGCAGCCAACAGCUAUCUUUGGGCCUUGAACAGAGCUCAGGAGGCAAGGGAUGUGCGCAACCAGGCGGUGGCUUUGGCCAAUCUUGGCCAUCUGACCCUUAAAUCCUGGACUCAGCAGCCAGCCAGGGACUAUCUUCUGCAGGCUGUGCAACUCUAUUCUAAACUCCAGGCCAGCAUGGAGACAGACAUGGAAUUAGUACAGGUGCUUCUCUGGUUGGCCCAAGUUGAGGUGUAUCGACACCAGCUGGCCAGUGGCCGCUUUUGUUACGAAAUGGCAUUGCUGUUUGGAUUAAGGCAUCAACACCUGAAGAGUCAGCUUCAGGUCACCAAAUCCCUCUGCCAUUUCUACAGCUCUGUGUCCCCAAGCCCCGAGGCAUGUAUCACCUACCACGAGCACUGGCUGGCCCUGGCUCAGCAACUCAGGGACCGGGAGAUGGAGGGGAGGCUGCUGGAGUCCCUUGGGCAGCUCUAUCGGAACCUAAAUACGGCCAGGUCCCUUAGGAGGUCCCUCACCUGCAUCAAGGAGAGCCUGCGUAUCUUCGUUGACCUGGGGGAGAGAGACAAGGCUGCUGAGGCCUGGCUUGGGGCUGGGCGACUCCACUACCUCAUGCAGGAAGACGAGCUGGUGGAGCUGUACCUGCAGGCAGCCAUCCAGAAAGCCCUGAAGUCAGAGGAGCCUUCCCUGGCUCUCAGGCUCUACGAGGAAGCAGGUGAUGUGUUCUUCAAUGGGACCCGCCACAGGCAUCGUGCGGUGGAGUAUUACCGAGCUGGGGCUGUUCCCUUAGCAAGGAGGAUGAAGGCAGUGAAAACCGAGCUCCGGAUUUUCAACAAGCUGACAGAGCUGCAGAUCAGCCUGGAAGGCUAUGAGAAGGCUUUGGAAUUUGCCACCUUGGCGGCCAGACUCAGCACAGUCGCAGGAGAUCAGAGGCAGGAGCUGGUGGCCUUCCACCGUCUGGCGACUGUGUACUAUUCCCUGCACAUGUACGAGAUGGCUGAGGACUGCUACCUGAAGACUCUGUCGCUCUGUCCACCCUGGUUGCAGAGCCCCAAGGAGGGCUUAUACUAUGCCAAGGUGUAUUAUCGCCUGGGCCAACUCACCUUCUACCAGCUGAAGAUUACAUUCACUGAAGAAAAAAUUAACCUCAUUCUGUGGAUGAAGAAACUGAGUCUUGGAGACAUAAGUCCAUUGGUCAGACCCAACAGGAGGCUCCGCCCAGCUCAAGGCAGUGUGCGCAGAGGUGGUGGGACGUGCCGGGAUUAUUAUCUUCCCCUGUGCCUGGAAAGAAGAGGACUGAAAAGGUACGCGGGCCUCCCACUGCCGUGGCCUCUCCCGUCGUGGAGCACAGGCUCUGGACGCGCGGGCUCAGCGGCCAUGGCUCACAGGCCCAGCCGCUCCGUGGCAUGUGGAAUCCUCCUGGACCGGGACACGAACCUGUGUCCCCUGCGUCGGCAGGCGGACCCCCAACCACUGCGCCACCAGGGAAGCCCCUAGAUUCUUUUUAUUGUGUCCUUUUUAUGAAUAAAAACAACAAAAAGCCCCACAAGUCACAGAGACCUUAACCAAUCUAAGGACACAUGGGUUGUUGUUGGUGGAUUCAGAUGGGAAAGAGGGAAGGAAAGAGCUGGUAUGGUAGAUGAGUGGAGAAUAAACUCAAAGUUCCAUAGUGUGUCGGGGGCAGGCAGCAGAGUCCUGGAAACUGAACUCUGGCUCAGAGUCUUAAUGAAUGUCUGUCUUUAACUGUCUUACUCAUCUAGUAUCUUAGGAUCAGCCCAAGAAGGUUCUUUGCUUGAAUGGGCUUCAAUGACAGAUUAUAUUGGAGAGUCCUUGGUGACAUGUGAGCCCAAGAUAAUUGCAAUGCCAUCGUUAGAUAUUGAUUCUUCCUUCAUAACACAAACAUGAGUCACAAAAAUAAUCCAAUCUUAUUAUGCCUGGGGGCAAGGAAAACAAACAAAGAAAGGUCCAUCGGUCAUUUUCACAUCUGUGAUAUUUUCGCUUUGUACUAGGUGUCAGGCUCCAUAUUGCACCAAAGAGGAAAUAGGUUCAGAGAGAGGAACUUCAAUUAGUAAGAAUCUAGGAUCCAAAUUUGGGUCUUCUCCAAAUCUUUAGCUUCUUCCUAAAUACAAAUCUUGGGCACCGUAUUGAAAGUCAUGCUCAGUGUCUCUUAAAUGCAAUUAUUAUUAUUUUUUUUUCAAACUAACUUCCCAGAAUGAAAAGUUCUUUUGAAACAAGACCUGGCCAAUUUUUCAUGAAGAGAAGAUUAAUGAUAGGAUCUGUUUAAAAUCAUAUUGCUUAUGUCAAAUGUCCUUUUAAUUAAUUAAUUAAUUAAUAUUUUUCGUUGUGUUGGGUCUUCGUUGCUGCGCGGGCUUUCUCUAGUUGCGGCGAGCGGGGGCUACUCUUCGUUGUGGUGUGUGGAUUUCUCAUUGCGGUGGCUUCUUGUAUCGUAUCGGAGCACGGGCUCUAGGUGCGCAGGCUUCAGUGGUUGCGGUGCACGGGCUUAGUUGCUCCGCGGCAUGUGAGAUCUUCCCAGACCAAGGCUUGAACCUGCGUCCCAUGCAUUGGCAGGCGGAUUCUUAACCACUGCGCCACCAGAGAAGUCCUGUCAAAUGUCCUUUUGAUAACUAUUUAUAAAAGGGCUUAUUUAAAAUACAAAAAUUUGGUUCCCCCAAAAGUAACAUGUGUCCUCCUAGGGACAAAUUAAUAGAAGCAAACAGUAGUGUUCUUGGAAAUCCCUUGGAUAAAUAAUUUUGUACACGCUGUUCCCUUUAGCCCCGCCUUACCUGCGGCUACACCUUGUUCCUCUGUUGAAUCAACUCUGCUGAAGUCCUCUUAUCCUCUGCACUCUGGUUGCCUUUCCUUCCCUCCACUCCACCCCCUACACCCUCAGCUCCUAUGGAUCUUUCUUUCCAUGUAAUUUCUUAGCCCUUCCUAUCCAUACCUCUUAGAAAGCAAACCCCCUGGGGCUGGGGCCUGGUUUUUCUUCACUGUCACUGUGACCUCAGCGUGCUGCCUGGCUCAUAGUAGUUGAACAAUAAAUAUUUGUUGGAUGAAUGAAUGCAUGGGUCACCCGCUACUAAACACAGCCUGGCUGGCACUGUUAAUUCGAGUUCUCUCCUUCUUUAUUUGUCUCUUCUAUUUAUACUCCUAACAACAACCCUGGCACACAGAAUGGGAGCUCUGUUUGUCAAGUGAAUCAAGGAAGGAAAGAAAUACUGAAAUAUUGUUUUAUAAAACAUGCUUUCAAUAGAAACAGAAUUUAUCCAUCUUGUGAAAUAACAUCAUAUCUCUCCUCUGUCCUGAAGAGAGUGGAGAUGAGAUGUUCGGUGGUGGAGGUAACUUAACAGUCUCUAUAAGUGGGUGCAUUUUUAUGGUGCGUUUGCAUGAUCACAGAUUCCUAAUGCUUCUGGUUGACAGAGACCUUAGCAAUCAAGUGGCAGUAGUGGUAAUAGUGAAGUUUAACAGUUAUCAAGUACAUUAGUCCAGGCUCUGUGCCAAGGGUUUUGUUUGUAUUAACUCAUUAAAUUCUUACAACCAACCUGUGAGGUAGGACUGUGUAUUAUUCCCAUUCAACAGCUGAGGAAACUGAGGCACAAAGAGCUACAUAAACAGGACUCUCUGAAGACUUAUGGGUGUGUGUGGGAGCUUCUAGGCUGCUCUGGGGAUGAGGGGAAAGUGCAAGACCAUGUGAAGGCAAGGAAGGCUAUCAGGCAAGAGCCUGCCCUCCUCUCCUAUAUCGAGAGCUGCUAUUCUGUUAAAUGUUUUACGUAUCAGGCUCCUGCAAAAAUAUUUCUUAGGGGAACAGGGUUUUAUCUAGCUAGAAAGAAAGACAGAUAUUUUAGUUUUACAGAUAAGAUACAAAGAUUUCAGGAUGUUAAAACACUUGGCAAUUGUCAUCAUGGCUAAGCCAGGUCUAAAAAUCUCGACUCCAAAUAGUCCAGGAAUCUAUUUCCUAUGCCGUGUUACUCGGGUGCCUGGUAUCUCCAUAAUGGCACUUAAAUUUGGUAUAACUCAUUGACCAUGACUUCUUUGUCCAAACUUUUGUUUCCAGAUGUAUGUUCUGAGCAAUACUGAGUAAAAUAAGGUUAAUUACAAGGUAAAUUUAGAAGUAUCGGUCUUGCAGAAUUGUUAGAGGAAAACAGGAAGGACAAGGCAAAGCUAGACAAGGCAGGAAGUAGAAAGAGUACUCAAGGCAUUUGGAGAAGACCAGGGUGUGUGUGUGGAGGUGGGGUACUGUGUAUGACAAAAUAGGCAGGCUUCUGACCCUGGAAUAAAAAUGACAACAGCAAUAACAAUAACAUUUUUUUUUGAAUGCCUAACAUGUGACAUGUUCAUAAAGCUCAAUGCUUUACAUGCACCAUCACUUUUAAUACUGAGGCCAACUAGCUCUCCUUGUUUCCGUGAAGAGGAAAUGGAUGCUUAUAGAGCUGGUAAGUGGUAGAGAGAAAACCAAUGUCUGUCUGGCAUCAAAGUGCAUGCUCUGAAUCCCUCAGCUACACUGUGACUUCAAAGCCCCCAGAAUCACUGGGACUUAGGCAUUUUUGUACCCAGUGGCAGCUCUUGGGACUAGGUCUACCUCAGAGCUAAGGCCCCUGACCCCGACUCAGGGACCCUAUGAGAAGCUUGAAUUAGAUCUACCUUUACAGCAAGCUGAGCCAGUCUAGGGUGAUUCAACCACCUGCUACUUGGAUGCCUGAGAUUCUUUGACCUGGGGACCAAGUCUUCCAUUCCCCAGUUAGAGAUAAAAUACUGAGAUUCUUGGUGGCUGCGUUUUAGUCAAUGAGGAAGUUGGAAACGAUGGCCAAAAGCAAUGCCUGCACUUUUAUAGCCUUUUAAGAUUUUCAAAGUAUUUCCCCUCUGUGUUUUUUCAAGGUCAUUAGGACAGAUGUUACAACUCCUACUUGACGGAUCAGAUCAGAACGAAGGAAAAAUUUAUGGAGAGUUACACACAUCUCGGAAGUGGUUGACCAAGAACUCAAUCCCUCAUCUUUUCAGGUCAUUUCCUCUUUGCCAGGCACUAGAACGGUGAAGGUCCUAGAAGGGAUUAGUAGUGUGAAGGGCAGGAGAGAAGCUCUGCUGACGGGCCCAGUAUGGAAAAAAACCGGCUGGUGAAACUGAGGCCUAGAUAUGGGGAAGGACUUGCCUGAAGCACACGGCCAGCUACAGCCAACGGCUGGGCUAGAACAUCUAUAUACCCUCAGAUGUUUCUUCCAUGAUUACUAUAUCUCUGGGAGGAGAAAAGCAAGCCCAGCAGAUACAGUCUACUGCUUCAUGGAGCUCAGACUUUAUUAGGGGAGAUAGACCUAACAGCUGCGCAUCACACUGUUGCAAGGAUGCCUGCUGGGGAGAACUCUGAGCUAAGUGGAUGCUGUGAUGUCCUGCAGAGCUGGGUCAACAGGCUGUAAAGAGGCGUGGUGUGAAGCUGAGGCAUUCCAAGGAAGACUUUACUGGAAUAGGUGGCAACUUGGUUUUGGGAGUUUAUAAGA